GACGUAGGGCGCGAGCGUUGUCCGGAUUUAUUGGGCGUAAAGAGCUCGUAGGCGGCUUGUUGCGUCGGCUGUGAAAUCCCGUGGCUUAACUGCGGGCUUGCAGCUGAUACGGGCGGGCUGGAGUUCGGUAGGGGAGACUGGAAUUCCUGGUGUAGCGGUGAAAUGCGUAGAGAUCAUGAGGAAGACCAGUGGCGAAGGCGGGUCUCUGGACAGUUCCUGACACUGAGACACGAAGGCCAGGGGAGCAAACGGG
rnacentral:rRNA from 1 species